GCUAAUGUGGCUCAGCUGGUAGAGCAGUUCACUCGUAAUGAACAGGUCGCCGGUUCGAAUCCGGCCAUUAGCUCCA
rnacentral:tRNA from 2 species